GUAGGUGGCAAGCGUUGUCCGGAAUUAUUGGGCGUAAAGCGCGCGCAGGCGGUUCUUUAAGUCUGAUGUGAAAGCCCACGGCUCAACCGUGGAGGGUCAUUGGAAACUGGAGAACUUGAGUACAGAAGAGGAAAGCGGAAUUCCACGUGUAGCGGUGAAAUGCGUAGAGAUGUGGAGGAACACCAGUGGCGAAGGUGGCUUUCUGGUCUGUAACUGACGCUGAGGCGCGAAAGCGUGGGGGAGCAAACAGGAUUAGAUACCCUGGUAGUCCACGCCGUAAACGAUGAGUGCUAAGUGAUAGGGGGUUUCCGCCCCCCCCUUAGUGCUGCAGCUAACGCAUUAAGCACUCCGCCUGGGGAGUACGGCCGCAAGGCUG
rnacentral:rRNA from 1 species